rnacentral:rRNA from 1 species
UGGGGAAUUGUUCGCAAUGGGCGCAAGCCUGACGACGCAACGCCGCGUGGAGGAUGAAGGUCUUCGGAUUGUAAACUCCUGUUGAUCGGGAAGAAUGGCCCCCGGGUUAAUACGCCGGGGGAGUGACGGUACCGAUUGAGGAAGCCACGGCUAACUCUGUGCCAGCAGCCGCGGUAAUACAGAGGUGGCAAGCGUUGUUCGGAAUUACUGGGCGUAAAGGGCGCGUAGGCGGUCGCCUAAGUCGGACGUGAAAUCCCCAAGCUUAACUUGGGAACUGCGUCCGAUACUGGGUGACUUGAGUUCGGGAGAGGAAUGUGGAAUUCCAGGUGUAGCGGUGAAAUGCGUAGAUAUCUGGAGGAACACCGGUGGCGAAGGCGGCAUUCUGGACCGAAACUGACGCUGAGGCGCGAAAGCCAGGGGAGCAAA